ensembl:lncRNA
GAGGAGCCACCGGCGAGCGUGAUGCGCAGCUGAGGGCUGGGAGCUUUCGGCGUCGGCGGGCUUGUCCGCAUCCCCAGUAUCCCGCGGGUCGAAGGCCGGCGUCAGCGUCUUUACAGCCUCUAAAGGAUGAGGUCUGGGUGAGCCGUGGCCGCGUGCAGGGUCCCUGGGGCCGUGGGAGGAAGGUGAGGCACGGCCUGAGUCGGCGGCCUGCUUCUGAGCUCCCUGCUGCGCCCCAGGCCGGGCGGGUCCAGCUCCCCGCGGUCCAGGCGCUGCACCAGGGCCCUGGCGUCGCUGUGUGCUGUUCUUGGGCGCAGAGGGGCCGCCCCACGGUGGAGGUGGGGUCGCUGCAGCCCCCAAAGGUAGAUCAGCUUUUCUUCCCCGUGUCCCGUGGCCCUGACCCCCACACCUAACGGAAGCCGGCGUCGGGAUAAUGCGAGGUCGGUCGAGGCUCAGACUUUCUGAGCUCAGGUAAGUUUCCAAAGUGAGCCUCAAACUUGAGAGGGGAAGGGAGUUGGGGUGCGGAGGGAAGGCUGCGCGGCUCCUGCAGGCCCCGCUCCCGCACGCCCGUAGGAUCCCGACGGAGGGUCAGGGUACGAAGGCCGGACGAGCCGUCCCCCUUUCACUCGGCCGAGCAGCUGUGGCUCCGGUCUCUCUUGCAGCUUUAGGCAUGGGGACCGCAUUCCACCUUCGGAUUUGUAUCGGAUUUCCAUCGUUGCUUUGAUGUUACUGUUCCCUUCGUGGAUAGAGGACUGGGAGAAAUGGAGGAGGUGGGGAUGUGAGAUGCUGAGUGUCAGGCUCGUGGAGCGCCUAGGAUCGUGGCAGGCGGGCCUGACUCACCUCAGUGCUUGUUCAGAAGCGGGGUGCGGUGGGCCCGAGUCGGAAACCGCGGGGAGACAGGUGUGGUGAGCGCCUUCGUCCACCAGGGGCGCCUCGGCCAAGGCGGCGGGAGGAGCCCGGUCCCCGGGUUUGGCCCAGGAACGUGCCCGCCAUCCCGUGGUCUCCACCCCACGCCCGUCUCCAGGCGCACGGUCCGCUCGCCCUCAGCCACCACUCGGCGCCACCUGCAGCUCCUGGUGGGCCCCCAGCUCCCGGUCCGAGCAGGCUCCGCCUGCGGGAAGCGCGGCGCCGGACGCUUUCUCAGCCAAGGACGCCGGGACAGGCGCGAGCGGAAUCGAGGGCUAGCGGUUUGGUGACCCUCGCUUGGUUGUUCCGGAGCCUUUGAGGGAGAGGGCAGCACAGAGGAGACGGCGAGGGGCACCGGGCACCAGGGCUCCUCCAGCGCCCGAGACUAACCUGUGGCAGUGGGGAGCCAGUGUCCACGCGGGCCCUGCUGGGGAGGGUGACUCCGGAUAAGCCUUCUCUAACUGGCAGAGAAAACAAGUCUUGGCCUUGAUAACCACAGGCUGCGCAUUAAAAGCAAACACGUUGUCCUCGUCCCUAACGACCGUCAGUGGUUCUGGGUCAUCCGUGGGGAAGAGAAAGGGAUUGGUUUCUCUUGGCAACAGAAGCCCCCCCCCCCCAGGGGAAGGGGCCCCUCCUGGCCCAGAGUGCUGGGACUGUGCUGCUGCAGGACUCUCAGCGGGCAGACUGAGUCUCAGGGCACAGCAAAGGCAUCCUCUCCAGGCAGCAGUAGGCCCCUUGUGGGGAAACGCGGAUGGAACGGAGCCCUAAAUCCUGCGCUGUGGCUUUGGAGAAACAAGUUCUGAUUCUGUCUUUCACUUAAGUCACGUGGCCGGGGACACAUACCUCUCCUUCCUGAGGUUCCAGGGCCUCACGAUCCACACCAGAUGCCCACAUAGUGAGCCAGAGUCCUGUGCUGCCAGAGCCAUCUUUGAUGACUUCCACAUGACCCUGGGACUCCACCUUUCGGCUGUCCUGACCCCGCAGGGAGGGGUUGGCCAGAGAGCUAGCUGCACCUGGUACCCGGUAGGUCAGCUUAUACCAACCUCAGAGACUGACCGGCUCCUUCUCCUUGUCUCAAUUUUCCCUCUAUCUCUGAGCAAUGAAAAAAUAAAUUUAUCUAUUUCUACUACUUUAGAAUACUUUUAAAUUUCAGGAAUUACCUGAGUUUCAAAUAAUAAAAUAAAUCCACAUGAGCCCAUCCUCAGUUGGCUCAGUGGCCAUUUACCCACAUAGGGUCUGCGUUCCUGUAAAGAGAGGAUUCUCCAGCUUUGUGUUUCUUACUUUCCCCUAAUGGCAGCAAGCAGCCAUCAGUCCCCACUUAGAGCUCUUCGCAGCAUUUCCAUCCAUGCCAUUGAGGAGCCUGAUUCAGUCUUUCUUCCUGUCAGCCUGGAGGUUGUCUGGAAGUAGAGCAUGGGAGGAAAUAGAGAGCCUAGAGGGGUUAAGCAAGGAAACCAGGACUGCGCAGCACGGCGCUGAUUUGAAAUGCCUGGGAGAGGGGAGCUGGACUUGUUCCUCAUACGCCUGCUAUGCCAAGGAGGAACAAACACAUCGAGAGGCCUUUCCACUUCCCUAUAGUGGUUCUAGUCCAGCACUGUCUGGUAGAAACACAACAGUAGACACAAAUGUGAACAGUUUUAAAUUUUCUAGUAGUCACAUUCAAAAAGCAAAAAAAAAAGGUAAAAUUAAUUUGCAUUAUAUAUUUUGUUACAGUCAAUAUUUUUUAAAAUAUUGUCAUUUCAACAUGUAGAAUUAAAAAAUUACUGUUAUCGAGCAUGGUGGCAGGGCCCUGUAGUCCCACUACUCAGGUUGAGGUGGAAGGAUCAUUUGAGCCCCAGCUUGAGACCAGCCUGGACAACAUAGACAGACCCUAUAUUAAAGAAGAUAUUGCUAUAUUUUACAUCCUUUUUUUGUGGUACUGAGGAUUGAAACUAAGGCCUUCACACUGAGCUGCAUCCCUCCCUCCAUCCUUUGAGACAGGGUCUCACUAAGUUGCCCAGGCUGGGCUCAAACUGUGUGAUCCUCUUCCUCAGGGAGAGGUAUAUCCAUAUUCCUGUCUCUUUUCUUACCCAGUCCUGCGGAACUGACGUGUAUUUUUCACUUACAG